CAAUUGUUCUAUGGCUUCCUGGAACCCUGGUUGGGGGAUGGGCUGCUGCUGAGUAAAGGAGACAAAUGGAGCCGGCACCGGCGCAUGCUGACCCCAGCUUUUCACUUUGACAUCCUUAAACCUUAUGUGAAGAUCUUCAGCCAGAGUGCAGACAUCAUGCAUACAAAAUGGAGGCGCCUCUGUGCUGAGGGCAGCAAUUACCUGGACAUGUUUGAACACAUCAGCCUCAUGACCCUGGACAGCCUGCAGAAAUGCAUCUU